rnacentral:rRNA from 1 species
AAUGCUGGCMACACGGCUUAACACAUGCAAGUCGAGCGGACAACCUCUAAGCAGGUUGUUAGCGGCGAACGGGUGAGUAACACGUGAGAAUCUACCUUGUUCAACGGGAUAGCUUAAGACAACUUGAGGUAAUACCGUAUGACUCCCGCAACGGGUAAACGAAUAUUUCAGAACAAGAUGAGCUUACGGUAGAUUAGCUUGUUGGUGGGGUAAAAGCCUACCAAGGCCAAGAUCUAUAGCUGGUCUGGAAGGAUGGACAGCCACAUUGGGACUGAGACAAGGCCCAACCCUCUAAGGAGGGCAGCAGUGAGGAAUAUUGGACAAUGGGCGGAAGCCUGAUCCAGCCAUGUUGCAUGAGUGACCGAAGGUCCAAUGGACUGUAAAACUCUUACACUAAUAAUUAAUUAAUGAUAAUGUUAGUGAAUAGCUCCGGCCAACUUCGUGCCAGCAGCCGCGGUAAUACGAGGGGAGCGAGUGUUGUUCGAUUUUAUUGGGCGUAAAGGGCUAUUAGGUGGUUCAACAAGUCGAUGAUCAAAUCUUGGAGCUUAACUCCAUCAAGGUUACCGAUACUAUUGAACUUGAACAUGUAGAAGGGACGAAUGGAAUUCCAAGUGUAGAGGUGAAAUUCGUUGAUAUUUGGAGGAGUACCAAAGGCGAAGGCAGAUCAUCAUGCUAAGUUGACGCUAAAAGUGCGAAAGCGUGGGGAGCAAACAGGAUUAGAUACCCUGGUAGUCCACGCCCUAAACGAUGAGUGCUAACAGUUAAGCGAUUAUAUGUUCAGAGCAUAUGUUCCGCACAUAUUUCGUUGAUUGUACAGCUAACGCGUUAAGCACUCCGCCUGGGGAUUACGACCGCAAGGUUAAAACUCAAAGGAAUUGACGGAGAUCCGCACAAGCGGUGGAGCAUGUGGUUUAAUUCGAAGCUACACGAAGAACCUUACCAGCCCUUGACAUUUUUGGUUAAACAUGUUAGAAAUAACAUGCCACUUACAACGUAAGAAUACCUUAAACAGGUGCUGCAUGGCUGUUGUCAGCUCGUGUCGUGAGAUGUAUGGUUAAGUCCUAAAACGAGCAUAACCCUCUCUCAUAGUUGCCGAAAACAAGUAAUGAGUGGCUCUCUAUGAGGACUGCCAACGCAAGUUGGAGGAAGGCGAGGAUUACAACAAGUCAUCAUGGCCCUUAUGGGCUGGGCCACACACGUGCUACAAUGACAACUACAAAGAGCCGCAAUACUGUGAAGUGGAGCUAAUCUCAAAAAGUUGUCUCAGUUCGGAUUGUACUCUGCAACCCGAGUACAUGAAGUAGGAAUCGCUAGUAAUCGUGGAUCAGCAUGCCACGGUGAAUACGUUCUCGGAUCUUGUACACACCGCCCGUCACACCAUGGGAGUUUAUUCUGUUUCAAGUUCCCUACAAGGAACGUAGAUGGAGUAAAUGACCGA